UACGUAGGGUGCGAGCGUUAAUCGGAAUUACUGGGCGUAAAGCGUGCGCAGGCGGCUAUGCAAGACAGAUGUGAAAUCCCCGGGCUUAACCUGGGAAUGGCAUUUGGGACUGCACGGCUAGAGUACGGCAGAGGAGACUAGAAUUCCUGGUGUAGCAGUGAAAUGCGUAGAUAUCAGGAGGAAUACCGAUGGCGAAGGCAGGUCUCUGGGUCGAUACUGACGCUCAUGCACGAAAGCGUGGGGAGCAAACAGG
rnacentral:rRNA from 1 species